rnacentral:pre_miRNA from 1 species
UCUCAUGGAUGAGCAAAGAAAGUGGUUUCUUGAGAUGGAAUCAAGUCCUGGUGAAGAUACUGUGAA